UUCGGAUUUCAGAUGGGCAUCACACAAUGGAUUCACAGGAUCGAUACCUGACUUCAUCGGAAGUUGGUCAAGUCUUGUUCAGCUGAGAUUUCAAGGAAAUUCAUUUGUAGGUCCAAUACCAGCACCCUUCUCAAACUUAAACUUGUUGAAUGACUUAGCCUUAUAAUAAUGAAGGAAACAAAUGGACAAGAGAUAUGGUUAUGGAUAAGCAUAGCAUAUUCGUUUAUGAGGUUUGUAUUUCCUGCGACAACUAUUUUCG